AAUCCUCAUAAGAAACACACCAGCUGGGAUUUCGCUAAUUCUUUCUUCUUCGUGGGAACUAUGUUAGCCACAAUAGGCUAUGGAAACCUCUGUCCCCAAACAGCAGAUGGUCAGAUUUUUUGUGUUAUUUUUGCUCUCUUUGGAAUCCCCUUCAACCUCAUCUGCUUGAACUAUAUUGGCUUUUUUGUCUCAAGAAUCUUUGAAACCUGUGCAGAGAAAGUAUAUUGGAAAGAA